AGAGUUUGAUCCUGGCUCAGGACGAACGCUGGCGGUGUGCUUCACACAUGCAAGUCGAACGGGGUAGCAAUACCCAGUGGCGGACGGGUGAGUAACGCGUGGGAAUCUGCCUUGAGGUAGGGGAUAACAGUCCGAAAGGACUGCUAAUACCGUAUAUGUAUACAACCGGACACGGUUGUAUAUGAAAGGAGUAAUCCGCCUUUUGAUGAGCCCGCGUCCGAUUAGCUAGUUGGUAGGGUAAAAGCCUACCAAGGCGACGAUCGGUAGGUGGUCUGAGAGGAUGAUCACCCACAAUGGGACUGAGACACGGCCCAUACUCCUACGGGAGGCAGCAGUGGGGAAUUUUGUGCAAUGGGGGAAACCCUGACACAGCGACACCGCGUGAGCGAAGAAGCCCUUUGGGGUGUAAAGCUCUGUCAGCUGGAACGAAAAAAAUGACGGUACCAGCAGAGGAAGCAUCGGCUAACUACGUGCCAGCAGCCGCGGUAAGACGUAGGAUGCAAGCGUUGUCCGGAUUUAUUGGGCGUAAAGAGUUCGUAGGCGGUUCGUUAAGUCUGAUGUUAAAGAUCGGGGCCCAACCCUGGGAGUGCAUUGGAUACUGGCGAACUGGAGUGCAGUAGAGGCGAGUGGAAUUCCCAGUGUAGCGGUGAAAUGCGUAGAUAUUGGGAAGAACACCGGUGGCGUAGGCGACUCGCUGGGCUGUAACUGACGCUGAGGAACGAAAGCCAGGGGAGCGAAUGGGAUUAGAUACCCUAGUAGUCC
rnacentral:rRNA from 1 species